CAGUCGCCGCGGGAAUACGUAUGUCGCGAGCGUUAUCCGGAAUUAUUGGGCAUAAAGGGCAUCUAGGCGGCCGGAUAAGUCUGGGGUGAAAACUUGCGGCUCAACCGCAAGCCUGCCCUGGAAACUAUGCGGCUAGAGUACUGGAGAGGUGGACGGAACUGCACGAGUAGAGGUGAAAUUCGUAGAUAUGUGCAGGAAUGCCGAUGAUGAAGAUAGUCCACUGGACGGUAACUGACGCUGAAGUGCGAAAGCUAGGGGAGCAAACAGGAUUAGAUACCCGCGUAGUCCCUGUCUCUUAUAA
rnacentral:rRNA from 1 species